rnacentral:lncRNA from 1 species
CAUAAGACCUUCAUUCCAGAGAGUCCUGCUUCCUUCUCUGGAGGAAGCAACCCUGCACAGAGGGAAAGAAGAAUCUCAACAUACAGUCCUCAGCAGCUUUAGCAUGGGCAACAAAUUAAGUCUCUGUAAAAGGCCCAAAGGACAGGGUUUGGUGAGAUUCUGGAGAGCUGGAAACAUGGAGGUUGACAGGAAUGUAAAGAAGAACUCAUUUACAUGCCAGGAGGGUGGAACACCCCAAUUCCAUGAGGAUAACUGCUCCUGUACUCCAGACCUCACCCCAUGUGUCUCUUCAUCUGGCUGGUUAUUUGUCCUUUAAGAUCUCCUUACUCAACCAGUAAAUGUGUCUUUACAUUGUUUUAGUCUUGAACUAGAAGAUGAAAGCAUCAAAUAAAGAAAUAUACUGUGGGUAUAUGGAUUACAAAAAAAGGUACUCUUAUAAGGAAUAGAGGAGAAGAGAAAAGAAGAGAAGACAAGAGAAGAGAAAGAGAAGAUUGCAAGAAGGGAAGACAAGAGAAGAGAAAGAGAAAGAGAAGAAGACAAGAGAAGAGAAAGAGAAAGAGAAGAUGCGAAAUAGACGCAUGCAUUUAUUGAAUUUUAAUUUAUGACAGAAGUAGCAUAGUCAAUAACUGAGGAGUGGAAGGACAAUAUAAUCAGAUAAAUUGAAAAAUGCUUAUUGACAUGGAAAUAUCAAAGGAAAAAUAUACCAUGUGCCCACUGAUAAAAAAUAAAUGGAAUAUUCAUGAAAGGUCCCAAUUACUGUUACAAUAAUUUUUUAAAUAAUUAGGCAUUUGGAUUUUAUGUGCUUUUUGAUUUGAGUAGUUUAAAGUGUUUUAAAUAACAUUAAAUAUUAUUAUAAUUAUAAUAAUUAUUAUUUUUGAGACCGAGUCAUCUUGCUCUAUUGCCCAGGCUCUAGUUCAGUGGUGCGAUCUCAACUCACUGCAACCUCCGCCUCCUAGGUUCAAGUGAAUCUCAUGCCUCAGCCUCCUGAGUAACUGGGACUACAGGCAUGUUCCACUACACCUGGAUAAUUUUUGUGUUUUUGUAGUAGAGACUGGGUUUCUCCAUGUUGGCCAGGCUGGUCUUGAACUCCUGACCUCAAGUGAUAUGCUUGCAUUGACCUCCCAAAGUGCUGAGAUUCCAGGUGUGAGCCACUGCACCCGGUCCAUUAAAUAUUAUUUUAAUUAUAUUAGGUCAAAUAUUUUUGUUUCUUUCCUGAAUUUUAACACUAUUUAGAAUGAGUACAUAGUUGUUAGCUAAUAAAAUCUGUAGUUCAAAAAUUAUUUUGUGACUUACUGAGCAUUUCACUUGAUCAAUUUUUAUAAAUGUUUCAUGAUCUCUUAAAAAGAAAUGUAAGUAGCAUGUUAUAGUAGUAUCUUCCGUCAUCAUAAUAGUAUGUUCUAUAUGUAUCAUGUGUCAUACUUCUGUCAUUUUUGUUUUAUUAGUGCUUUGCUUAUUUCACAGAUUCUGCUUUUGUUUAUUUGUUUCUUAAUAAACUUUCUAAAUCUGCUAGUUUGGGAGGUUUCGACUUUCAUAUUGGUGCACAUUUAACUUUAUAUAAUAUGCUUGAUCAUCUAUUUACUGAUGCAUAGACUUCAGAGAGUGUCUUCUCUUAACUAUCCACUUUGAUCGAUGAAAAAAUAACGACCACUCCUGAUUUUAGUAGUUUUGUUGGUUUUCAUAUAUAUGAAAUGCUACUGUAUGAAUAAAAAUCAAAUGUAGAUCUAUUUUUCUAUUGUUUCUUCCCCAGUGAUACUUUUCAGAUAAGAAUAUGGGCAAAUAAUGAUUGCAGAUUCCAUCUUUGGUUUUAUUCUUUUUGCUAAACAUUUUAUUCUGAGGUAUAGCUGGUCAAUUCGAUAGCUCAUGAUCUUAAAAAUGUCUUUGUAUUCUAUUUCUUUUUUUUUUUAAAUUCAAUUAUUUAGCCUCAUUGACUACAUCAUUCCUCCAGGCAGAAGGUGCAAAAGACAGCAAAACUUGAGGACUUUCACCAAGGAUGUGCUAGGAGGGGACGUGGGAAAUGGAUUAUUCCUUGAACAUUUUCCCUGGGCCAUUCUCUUCCUUUUUUAUUUUUGUUCUGGUUACAUGGGGCUUUCAAGACUC